rnacentral:tRNA from 2 species
GCGGGCAUAGCUCAGCUGGUUAGAGCACCAGAUUGUGGCUCUGGGGGUCGCGGGUUCGAAUCCCGUUGCCCGCC